rnacentral:rRNA from 1 species
AUUGAACGCUGGCGGCAUGCUUUACACAUGCAAGUCGAACGGUAACAGGUCUUCGGAUGCUGACGAGUGGCGAACGGGUGAGUAAUGCAUCGGAACGUGCCCAGUCGUGGGGGAUAACGCAGCGAAAGCUGUGCUAAUACCGCAUACGAUCUAUGGAUGAAAGCGGGGGAUCGCAAGACCUCGCGCGAUUGGAGCGGCCGAUGUCAGAUUAGCUAGUUGGUGGGGUAAAGGCCCACCAAGGCGACGAUCUGUAGCUGGUCUGAGAGGACGACCAGCCACACUGGGACUGAGACACGGUCCAGACUCCUACGGGAGGCAGCAGUGGGGAAUUUUGGGACAAUGGACGCAAGUCUGAUCCAGCCAUUCCGCGUGCAGGAUGAAGGCCCUCGGGUUGUAAACUGCUUUUGUACGGAACGAAAAGGUUUCUAUUAAUACUAGGAGCUCAUGACGGUACCGUAAGAAUAAGCACCGGCUAACUACGUGCC